rfam:Homo sapiens chromosome 10, GRCh38 reference primary assembly.
GCCAGGCGUGGUGGUGCACGCCUGUAGUCCCAGCUACUGGGCAGGCUGAGGCAGAAGGAUUGCUUAAGUCCAGGAGGUCAAGGGUGCAGUGAGCUGUGAUCGUGCCACUGCACUCCAGCCUGGGCAAGAGAGUGAGACUCUGUCUCAA